rnacentral:rRNA from 1 species
UAAGGAAUAUUGGUCAAUGCCCGGAAGGGUGAACCAGCCAUCCCGCGUGAAGGAUGAAGGGGCUCUGCCUUGUAAACUUCUUUUGAAUGGGACGAAAAAGCCUCACUUGUGAGGAACUGACGGUACCAUUAGAAUAAGCACCGGCUAACUCCGUGCCAGCAGCCGCGGUAAUACGGAGGGUGCGAGCGUUAUCCGGAAUCACUGGGUUUAAAGGGUGCGUAGGCGGCUGUAUAAGUCAGUGGUGAAAGGCUGUGGCUUAACCAUGGGAUUGCCAUUGAUACUGUACGGCUUGAAUUAGGAUGAGGUUGGCGGAAUGUGACAUGUAGCGGUGAAAUGCUUAGAUAUGUCAUGGAACAUCGAUUGCGAAGGCAGCUGACUGGACCUUAAUUGACGCUGAGGCACGAAAGCGUGGGGAGCGAACAGGAUUAGAUACCCGCGUAGUCCCUGAGCGGGCUGGCAAGGCGCAU